ACCACACUCAGUGGUUCCUGCAGGCCUGGAAUGUCCAGAAGAAACAGCCACUCCAGCUGUCUUUCCUUGCCCUGCGGUUCCGCGUCUGCUUUCUCCUUAACAGCUUAAUCCUUCAAAGAUCAGCAUGGCCCUCCCUCUACUCAGCUUCUCUACCCCUUAGGGCUGCUGUCCAUUCCUAACUUUACAUCCCAUGGAUCCUGCUUUCUACUUUCCAUCGGGAGUUUCUCUGCUCCUGCCUUCCCUGCAGCCUAUCUCAGAGGACCCCUGGAAAGGGAAGAUACCCAAAAGAAAAAGAGCCAAAUAGAAAACAAAGCACUGUUUGUAUAAAGCAUUACCCUGUUACCACAGGAUGGUGAAAAUUGCCUUGGAAAAUAUGGCUGAAGCUGGGGAUGUUCAGUGAGGCUUCCAGCUUCCUCGCCCUGAGUCUGUCCACUUGGUCUUUUCAGAUGGAGAAGCUAAAAAGUGGAGGACAGAGGAGGAAGGCCAGGCCUGACUCAAGGGCACAGCCCUGCCAGGUUGGAAAUAUCCAAUAUCAUCUGAGAAGUCAGACCUGCUUAUGGGACCAAGCAGCUGAAAGAAAGGAAGCAGAAGAAAAGACCUUGAUCCUGACUGUGAAGGCACAGUUACCCACUUCAGAUGAGACCCCCUUAGAGCUUCACUAUUUAACGUGGGAGCCACUAGCCACACGUGGCCACUGAACAUUUGUAAACGUAGCAAGUUUGAAGUGAGGUGUUCUGUAAGGGUAUAAUACAAACCUGAUUUUGAAGACUUAGUACAAAAAAAGAUAAAGUACCUUAUUUAUCUUUCAUAUAUUGCUUAUUUGCUUAAAUGAAAAUAUUUUACAUAUGUUGGAUAAAAUGAAUCAUUGAAAUUAAAGUUACCUG
ensembl:lncRNA